rnacentral:rRNA from 1 species
AUUGAACGCUGGCGGCAUGCUUUACACAUGCAAGUCGAACGGUAACAGGCCGCAAGGUGCUGACGAGUGGCGAACGGGUGAGUAAUGCAUCGGAACGUGCCUAGUCGUGGGGGAUAACUGCUCGAAAGAGCAGCUAAUACCGCAUACGAACUAUGGAUGAAAGCGGGGGAACGUAAGGCCUCGCGCGAUUGGAGCGGCCGAUGUCAGAUUAGGUAGUCGGUGGGGUAAAGGCUCACCAAGCCAACGAUCUGUAGCUGGUCUGAGAGGACGACCAGCCACACUGGGACUGAGACACGGCCCAGACUCCUACGGGAGGCAGCAGUGGGGAAUUUUGGACAAUGGGGGCAACCCUGAUCCAGCAAUGCCGCGUGCAGGAAGAAGGCCUUCGGGUUGUAAACUGCUUUUGUACGGAACGAAACGGUCUGGGUUAAUACCCUGGGCUAAUGACGGUACCGUAAGAAUAAGCACCGGCUAACUACGUGCCAGCAGCCGCCGUAACAC